rnacentral:lncRNA from 1 species
GUUCGCAAGGCAGAAAUGAUGCUCGCGUCUGUACUGUGGACAGCUGUUCUAUUUACUCUUGUAAAAGCCACCAUCCUGGACAGCGGUCCAACUGAAGCACCAGACGUGGAGAGCGGCUCGGGGAUGCUGCUGACAGAAGCAAUAGACCUUCUUGAUCAUCUGUGGCAGGUGGCUAAUCACAGCAAUGCAUCAGUAACACAGGAAAGCCAAAGAUGUCCAGUCCUGCAUGUAGGCCAGUACUCCACCCUCUAUAUACCACUACGGCAGGUGUUUGGACACAGGUUUGGUGAUGAGUUCAGUUUGCUGUUGCAUUUGCGUAGCUCCCAGUCUGAAGACCGCAGUGUGCUGACUUUCCUCUGUCCAGAUGGACACAUUCUCCUGCAGAUUCGCAUCAGUGCCUACACUUUUACCUUUAUCAGUACCCAACAACGACACUAUGAGUUCCCCGUGGCAGUGCUGUCUGAUGGGGGUUGGCACCACGUGGCAGUCAGCGUCUCCUCAGGCCGGUUGGCGUUGUAUGUGGAUUGCUCCAUGGUUGAGAGCGUGGACUGGGCUUAUAAGGACGGUUUGGGAAUCUCAACUGAUGGCCUGGUUAUGGUGGGAGGAAUCAUUGAGGGUUUUGAGACACCUUUUGAGGGUGAUCUGAUGCAAGUGGCAUUUCUGAUGGGAGAACCAGAUGCAGCUCGAGACCAGUGUGCCGUUUUGCAACCCCAGUGUGGUGGAACCGGACACAAACCACCUCGCUCUCCUCGCAUACACACUGACGAGGAACUUCUGCUGUCCUCAAAUGACCUGGAGGACUUAUUAGAGACAGCAGAGGACAGUGACUCUAUUCGUGUAAAACUGACUGUAAGUUGCAAUACUAUGCAGCUGUGCCAUAGUAACUAAGUUACUUCUCAUAUAAAUUCAAAUUCAUAGUCAAAAUUGAUACUGUUAUUUACUCACCUUCAUGCCAUUCCAAAC